AGAACGAACGCUGGCGGCAGGCCUAACACAUGCAAGUCGAACGCUCGUAGCAAUACGAGAGUGGCAGACGGGUGAGUAACACGUGGGAACGUACCCUUCGGUUCGGGAUAACUCAGGGAAACUUGAGCUAAUACCGGAUACGUCCGAGAGGAGAAAGGUUUACUGCCGAAGGAUCGGCCCGCGUCUGAUUAGCUAGUUGGUGAGGUAACGGCUCACCAAGGCGACGAUCAGUAGCUGGUCUGAGAGGAUGAUCAGCCACAUUGGGACUGAGACACGGCCCAAACUCCUACGGGAGGCAGCAGUGGGGAAUAUUGGACAAUGGGCGCAAGCCUGAUCCAGCCAUGCCGCGUGAGUGAUGAAGGCCCUAGGGUGUAAAGCUCUUUUACCUGGGAAGAUAAUGACUGUUACCAGGUAGAAUAAGCCCGACUAACUCGUGCCAGCAGCCGC
rnacentral:rRNA from 1 species